rnacentral:rRNA from 1 species
GACGAACGCUGGCGGCGUGCCUAAUACAUGCAAGUCGAACGCUUCUUUCCUCCCGAGUGCUUGCACUCAAUUGGAAAGAGGAGUGGCGGACGGGUGAGUAACACGUGGGUAACCUACCCAUCAGAGGGGGAUAACACUUGGAAACAGGUGCUAAUACCGCAUAACAGUUUAUGCCGCAUGGCAUAAGAGUGAAAGGCGCUUUCGGGUGUCGCUAAUGGAUGGACCCGCGGUGCAUUAGCUAGUUGGUGAGGUAACGGCUCACCAAGGCCACGAUGCAUAGCCGACCUGAGAGGGUGAUCGGCCACACUGGGACUGAGACACGGCCCAGACUCCUACGGGAGGCAGCAGUAGGGAAUCUUCGGCAAUGGACGAAAGUCUGACCGAGCAACGCCGCGUGAGUGAAGAAGGUUUUCGGAUCGUAAAACUCUGUGUUAGAGAAGAACAAGGACGUUAGU